AUAGUCUAACUUAUUUUUAAUUUAUCAUUAUGUAAUUCAAAAUAUUACACUUUACCUUUCCUAGUUCAGCACAUUUUUUAUUUUGUCAUUACGUGAGUUUUAAAAGAGAAAAAACUUCAAAAACCCUCCUGUGGUUUUGUAGUUUCUCACUUUACCUCCCUGUGGUUUAAAAUGUAUCAAUUUGCCCUCCCUGUGGUUUCGUUUUUAUUUUUUGAUAGCUUUUUCGUUAAUAUUUCAUUAAAUUAUAUACAAAAAACUUCAGAUAUCUAUUUAGAUUUAUCAAAUAUUCACUGUAGUACCCUUUAAUUUUAACUUUAUCACUGAUUUAAGAAAAAAAUUAAUGAAAUUGAUAAGAAAAAGAUAAAACAGAAACCACAGAAGGGCACAUUGAUAUAUUUUAAAUCACAGGGGGCAAAGCGAGAAACUACGAAAUCUGGAGGGUUUUGAAGUUUUUCCAAAAAUUUAUACUUUAUCAUCCCACUUGGUCUAAAAGUUUUAGGUAAAAUAAAAAUUAAAUCAUGAAAAACAAAUAUAAUUUUUUUUUAACUAAAGGGUGAUAAAGUAAAAAAUAAGUUUAACCACACGGAGCCAAUUUGAAGUUUAUCC
rnacentral:lncRNA from 1 species